UGGGUAACCUGCCUCAAAGAGGGGAAUAGCCUCCCGAAAGGGAGAUUAAUACCGCAUAAUAUGUUUAAGUCGCAUGACUUUAACAUCAAAGGAUUUUCUUUUAGAAAUUCCACUUUGAGAUGGACCCCGCGGCGCAUUAGCUAGUUGGUGAGGUAACGGCUCACCAAGGCAACGAUGCGUAGCCGACCUGAGAGGGUGAUCGGCCACAUUGGAACUGAGACAGUCGGGUCCCAGUACCCUUCGUAACCGGGGGAGG
rnacentral:rRNA from 1 species